AACAAACGCUGGCGGCGUGCCUAACACAUGCAAGUCGUACGAGAAAGUCGGCUUCGGCCGAUGAGUACAGUGGCGCACGGGUGAGUAACGCGUGGGUAAUCUACCCCUCGGUCAGGAAUAACCCGCCGAAAGGCGGGCUAAUACCCGAUAACACUGACGCUCUGCGGAGUGUCUUUCAAAGAAGGCCUCUGUUUACAAGCUUUCGCCGGAGGAUGAGCCCGCGUACCAUUAGCUAGUUGGCAGGGUAAUGGCCUACCAAGGCAACGAUGGUUAGCUGGUCUGAGAGGAUGGCCAGCCACACUGGAACUGAGACACGGUCCAGACUCCUACGGGAGGCAGCAGUGAGGAAUCUUGCGCAAUGGGGGAAACCCUGACGCAGCAACGCCGCGUGAGUGAGGAAGGCCUUCGGGUC
rnacentral:rRNA from 1 species